rnacentral:rRNA from 1 species
AUUGAACGCUGGCGGCAGGCCUAACACAUGCAAGUCGAGCGGGGUUUUCGGACCUAGCGGCGGACGGGUGAGUAAUGCGUAGGAAGCUGCCCGAUAGAGGGGGAUACCAGUUGGAAACGACUGUUAAUACCGCAUAAUGUCUACGGACCAAAGUGUGGGACCUUCGGGCCACAUGCUAUCGGAUGCGCCUACGUGGGAGUAGCUAGUUGGUGAGGUAAUGGCUCACCAAGGCGGCGAUCUCUAGCUGGUUUGAGAGGAUGAUCAGCCACACUGGAACUGAGACACGGUCCAGACUCCUACGGGAGGAAGCAGUGGGGAAUAUUGGACAAUGGGCGCAAGCCUGAUCCAGCCAUGCCGCGUGUGUGAAGAAGGCCUUCGGGUUGUAAAGCACUUUCAGCGAGGAGGAAGGGGUGUGUGUUAAUAGUACACACCUUUGACGUUACUCGCAGAAGAAGCACCGGCUAACUCUGUGCCAGCCGCCGCAGUAAAAC